rnacentral:rRNA from 1 species
CAGUCGCCGCGGUAAUACAGAGGGUGCAAGCGUUAAUCGGAAUUACUGGGCGUAAAGCGCGUGUAGGUGGUUUGUUAAGUUGGAUGUGAAAUCCCCGGGCUCAACCUGGGAACUGCAUCCAAAACUGGCAGGCUAGAGUAGGGCAGAGGGUGGUGGAAUUUCCUGUGUAGCGGUGAAAUGCGUAGAUAUAGGAAGGAACACCAGUGGCGAAGGCGACCACCUGGGCUCAUACUGACACUGAGGUGCGAAAGUGUGGGGAGCAAACAGGAUUAGAUACCCCGGUAGUCCCUGUCUCUUAUAC